UACGUAGGGGGCGAGCGUUGUCCGGAUUUAUUGGGCGUAAAGCGCGCGCAGGCGGUUCGGCUAGUCGGGUGUGAAAAUCCGGGGCUCAACCCCGGACUUGCAGUGGGUACGGGCAGACUAGAGUGUGGUAGGGGAGACUGGAAUUCCUGGUGUAGCGGUGAAAUGCGCAGAUAUCAGGAGGAACACCGAUGGCGAAGGCAGGUCUCUGGGCCACUACUGACGCUGAGAAGCGAAAGCAUGGGGAGCGAACAGG
rnacentral:rRNA from 1 species